UACGGAGGGUGCAAGCGUUAUCCGGAUUCACUGGGUUUAAAGGGUGCGUAGGCGGGUCUGUAAGUCCGUGGUGAAAUCUCCGAGCUUAACUUGGAAACUGCCAUGGAUACUAUAGGUCUUGAAUACUGUGGAGGUCAGCGGAAUAUGUCAUGUAGCGGUGAAAUGCUUAGAUAUGACAUAGAACACCAAUUGCGAAGGCAGCUGGCUACACAAAUAUUGACACUGAGGCACGAAAGCGUGGGGAUCAAACAGG
rnacentral:rRNA from 1 species